AUUGAACGCUGGCGGCAGGCCUAACACAUGCAAGUCGAGCGGAUGAAGGGAGCUUGCUCCUGGAUUCAGCGGCGGACGGGUGAGUAAUGCCUAGGAAUCUGCCUGGUUGUGGGGUAUAACGUCCGGAAACGGGCGCUCAUACCGCAUACGUCCUGAGGGAGAAAGUGGGGGAUCUUCGGACCUCACGCUAUCAGAUGAGCCUAGGUCGGAUUAGCUAGUUGGUGGGGUAAAGGCCUACCAAGGCGACGAUCCGUAACUGGUCUGAGAGGAUGAUCAGUCACACUGGAACUGAGACACGGUCCAGACUCCUACGGGAGGCAGCAGUGGGGAAUAUUGGACAAUGGGCGAAAGCCUGAUCCAGCCAUGCCGCGUGUGUGAAGAAGGUCUUCGGAUUGUAAAGCACUUUAAGUUGGGAGGAAGGGCAGUAAGUUAAUACCUUGCUGUUUUGACGGUACCAACAGAAUAAGCACCGGCUAACUUCGUG
rnacentral:rRNA from 1 species